UACGACUAUUUAGAGAGUUUCGGCUACUGA
rnacentral:piRNA from 1 species